rnacentral:rRNA from 1 species
UACGAAGGGGGCUAGCGUUGUUCGGAAUUACUGGGCGUAAAGGGCACGCAGGCGGUGCGGCGCGUUUCGCGUGACAGCGGAGGGCUUAACUCUCCGAGGAUGCGAAAGACGGCGGCACUUGAGGGCCAGAGAGGGACACGGAAUUCCGGGUGGAGUGGUGAAAUGCGUAGAGAUCCGGAGGAACACCGAAGGCGAAGGCAGUGUCCUGGCUGGUGACUGACGCUGAGGUGCGAAAGCUAGGGGAGCGAACGGG